CCUUUUUCUCUCUUUCCAAGGCUUCCUGUCCUCCUCUAGCCUUUCCAUUCCUAUCUAUCUCCAUCCUACUCUCCCACUCCGGCUCUCCGUUUCUCCUCUAUCCUUUCUCUCUUUCCUAUCCAAACCUUACACUCUCUUUGUCCCACCUCACUCCAAGACACUACACCUCCUAUAGUAGGUGUAUGUAGCUGAUACCAUCCGCAAGAGACUAGACUGCGCUCUGGAGUCUAGAGUUGAUUCGCAUUCACGCUACUGUAUGGAACAAGGAUGAAGAUGCUACAGGAAUCUUCUAAAUGAUUCUGUGGAAGAUGGUACCGGUAUCUUCGAGUACAGUGCAGCUAGAAUAUUGGAGAAUCUUCGGCAAGCUGCAGACAGCCGAACGAUCGGACGGGUCAGCAAGUUCAUUUGGUAUUCUUUUCGUGGAUGCGUCAUCCGCCAGACCAACUACGGAGGCGGAUGGCUCCUUCUUUUAGUAAUCAUCGCCAACGAUCGAUACCAACGAGCCCAAGACGAAUUUCGAAAUGGCUAUAGAAUCUUUUGACAUGAAAUUCAUUUGGAAUAAUUAUUUACUCAUCUGUAGGAUGGUGACAGUCAAAUUCUAUACUAUUAGAAUUAUGCAUGGGUAAUCAGCUUCCGUUCUGAUUAUUCUGUGUAGAAAUAAGGCAGUUUAGUGACUGGUGGUGACAUCUGACACCUGCCAUUCGUUUCAUUGAUCGACUGAGACAAUGAGAAAUAUUGAAACACCUUGUACAUCUACAGUUGAAUUCAUCCUAAAAAUAAUUCAGGCAGCACCUUGUAUGGCAGUUGGCAAGAUCCGUGACACCUACGCUAUUGGCACACAGGAUCAAAACGGUUCCGCAAAGUGUCAUUCUAAUCGAUCAUGAUUGGGCAGUCACUCAUGUCAUUGCUACACUCCAGAAUCUUCAUUCAACUCCUAAUCUGAAAUCAGCAGACACAGUAGUCAAAGCUAAUCAACCUGAUGACUUCAUAAUGAUUUUUCUCUCUAACUACCAAAGGGAUCUGAAGAUGCAAUUGGUCCUAUUGAUUACUAAGGUCAACUGGUGUAAGGAUGAUAGUCUGAGAUGGGCUGGAACAGGAAUGACCAGGAUGACUUGGCUCAGUAAACGACACAGCCUGCAACUCAAUGAUGAUCAGCACUGCAAAUAUCAAGAGGAAAUGAAAAUUACCAGUGUCACCAUUUUAUUUGGAUACUAAUAGAGUGAAACUUAUGGAUAGAAAAGACAUGGUUAGUCAGAAGAAAGUAUAUUAAUGAGUUGACGGUAUAAGGAGAUGUCCAUAAUGAGCGACAAAAUCAUUUAGCUAUCAAAUAAUUUUUAGUAUUGAAAUUGCGAAAUGAGGAUAUUUCUCACCCACACAUUCCAUUUAUCUUUAUUAUACAAAUCGUUCGAAGAAUAUUCUCUAAUCAUUCAAUGACUGUAUUAACGUCAUUUAACACGGAUUCUGAAGAUUGAGCUUGCAGUAUUACUCAUUCUAAAAUGACUUAUUGGAUAAUUACGCAAUCUUGGUGAAACCAAAUGAAGCUGUGCUACAAGUAUGGAUGUAGCAAGGCAAAUGUACUUCUCCUUCUGCUACCGAGGUGUACCAAUUCAACGAAUUACCACGCUCUUGGUAAUAGCAUUAAUAACAAUGGCACAAUCGAAAUGUAUGACCUUGUCUACCAGGGUGUGGGCCACGUAUGCUUUCCUGUGCCAUGAGAAUUCAUACACCAUAACUGUACGAAUGCUAACACCCAUGCAAAAAGAAAAAGGUUUUCGAUGCUACCUACAAUGUUUUUACAUCAGAAUAAUAAAUUCUAAGCAAUAUCAAAGUACAGAAUGUAAAACAACCAUUGUAGAGUGAACGUAGUGCAGUCAUGAUGUCUGGAGAAAAUCUGUAUUGUAACAAUCGAUAAAAGUAAUAACUAUA